GGGGUUGUGGCUCAGCGGUAGAGUACUUGCCUCGCACAUAGGGGACCCUGGGUUCAAUCCUCAGCACCACA
rnacentral:tRNA from 1 species